rnacentral:lncRNA from 1 species
CAAAAUCUUCUCCAUCUCUGAACUCAAAAACUCAUUCACUGAGAAAAAUGGAGACCCUUCUCUCCCCUCGUGCGCUCUCUCCUCCUCUCAAUCCCAAACCUUUGUCCCUUCACCAGACCAAACCCACUUCACAUUCAUUGUCUCUCUCAAAACCCACCACCUUCUCCGGUCCUAAACACCUCUCCACCCGGUUCACUAAACCGGAAUCAAGAAACUGGUUAAU